rnacentral:rRNA from 1 species
GAUGAACGCUGGCGGCGUGCCUAAUACAUGCAAGUCGAGCGAACGGACGAGAAGCUUGCUUCUCUGAUGUUAGCGGCGGACGGGUGAGUAACACGUGGAUAACCUACCUAUAAGACUGGUAUAACUUCGGGAAACCGGAGCUAAUACCGGAUAAUAUUUUGAACCGCAUGGUUCAAUAGUGAAAGACGGUCUUGCUGUCACUUAUAGAUGGAUCCGCGCUGCAUUAGCUAGUUGGUAAGGUAACGGCUUACCAAGGCAACGAUGCAUAGCCGACCUGAGAGAGUGAUCGGCCACACUGGAACUGAGACACGGUCCAGACUCCUACGGGAGGCAGCAGUAGGGAAUCUGCCGCAAUGGGCGAGAGCCUGACGGAGCAACGCCGCGUGAGUGAUGAAGGUCUUCGGAUCGUAAAACUCUGUUAUUAGGGAAGAACAUAUGUGUAAGUAACUGUGCACAUCUUGACGGUACCUAAUCAGAAAGCCACGGCUAACUACGCG